rnacentral:lncRNA from 1 species
UUUUCAAUCAUCUCCCAUUGAAAGCUGAAUCAUGAGGAUACCAUCUCCAAGCAGGUGGAGUAUUUGAUCCCUUUAGCAAGGCAGUGAUUUUGAAAUUCGGGUUUAGACAAAAAGAUAUUUCAAGCUCCUGAAGAACAAGUUUGAAGGAUUCAGAGCAGAGAAUUGCACCCUGGCAUGAUGCCUAUGCCAGCUGGACUGUGUGAUUUUUGUUCUUUAGUAGAAGGAUAACAUGACAUAGCAGGAAUAAUACUGCCUUUUCUUUCUGGCAUGGAUCAAGAGAAAAGAAAAUACAAGAAAACAGACAGAAGCAAGGCAAGGUACUUCUAUGGAAGGGUGAGCCCUCACAGAUGGAGCAAUGGGGCGCGCACACCUGAACAAGGGAGGGGAAGGAGUUCUUAUCCCUGAUGCAUGUGACCCCUGCUGCUGUGUCCUUCCCCUAUUGGCUAAGGUUAGACCACACAGCCUAAACUAAUUCCGAUUGGCUAAUUCAAAGAGAGCGACGGGGGCUUCUGACAGCUUUGGAGAUUGUGACAUUGGAAUAAAGGAAAAACGUACAGGACUCAUGAAGCGCUGAAAUGUUCACAAAUAUCAAGCAAAAGUCAAUGAAAUUUAUUUUGAGCUAUUUACAUCAUUUAAUAAUUGAGCAAGGUAUACUCCUAUGAACAAAAUUUGGAGCAUGUUUGUCUCUCUCUGUCUGCCUGGCAUCUACAGAAUUUGGAAACUAGUUGUGCUGUACUGCAUGAGAAUGCCUGCAUUUAGUAUGCGAACUGGAAUUGGCAAAGGACGAUGGCUGCUCUCCCGCUAACUUUAAAUAAGUCAUGUCACAAAUUGCAUUCGUUCCCAGAUUUCCUAAACUUUCCAGAGAAAAUGGUCUUCUCCCUGGCUCAGCAAGAAGAUGAACUUUAAACACUGAGAAACUGGUCAUCUCCCUGGCUCAACCAGAAGAUGAACUUUAAACACUACUCUCAAUGACUUGAUGUUCCCAUCACUACUCCUGUCAUAAAGGGAGGGGACUCAGAUAUUGAGAAUUUUAUGAUAGUGUGAACUGUCUGGCACAACAUGAAGAAUAACUCAAUGAUUUGCCGAAAAGAAGAGAAAUAUAUUAUCCCUUCAGUUCCUAAACUUACUUGUUUUCUCAUCUUCAAGAACGAAAGUAAUUCAGCAUACACAUAUAGCAUAUUAAUAUUCUUUAUAAAUUAUAUUCAUGUACAACUAUAUAAUGUAUAAUCAUAUUCAUGUACUACCUGUACAAACAAAUUUACACAUUUAAAAUAUAAAAAAUAAGAUGAAAAUGGAAUCAAUGUAUCACAAGUGAUUGAAAUAUCUAAUACUUUCUUUCAGCAAAUCACUGGAUCAUACUGCAGAUUCCUUGAAUUUCUGCUCCUCUCAUUACAAACUGUUGUAUUAGAUGACCAAUAUAUAUCUUUUCCUACCAUUUAAUGAUUCUCUCCUUUUUCUACUGUGAGCUUGUUUUGUUGUUAAUGACAAAUACAGUACAGAUUUAGUUAGCUGCUGUGGAGUAUGAGGCAGAAUAAGCAAUGUGACUAAUCCUUAUUGUGCAUUCUCAAGCUGACUCCCAGUACUCUCUUUUCAUGCCUCCUGAGCACUAUACUUAUUAACAUUGUCUACUUCUGCAGUAUUUUAGUGAAAGGUAUUAGGAUGCAAUAUAUUUUCUUUUUAACAUGCAAAGGUGAUGAAUGAAAAUUAUAUGAUCAUUUGGUUAAUGAUAUUAAUUUAUCAGUGUGAAUAUGUAUUUUAAAAAAUCACAUACUGUUACUGCAGGAAAUAAAUUGAAGUUUCUUAUAUUUUGAAAAAAAAUCAGAUAAUAUACAUGCCAUAACUAAAAUGAUACUUUGUUGAAAGAAUCUAUUUUAAUCAGAGUAUGAGGAUGCCAAUCUCAUGUUUUUUUAAAUAUAUAUUUCAGAGUGAAAUGUAA